GACGAACGCUGGCGGCGUGCUUAACACAUGCAAGUCGAGCGGUAAGGCCCUUUCGGGGGUACACGAGCGGCGAACGGGUGAGUAACACGUGGGUGACCUGCCCUUAGCUCUGGGAUAAGCCUGGGAAACUGGGUCUAAUACCGGAUAUGACUCCACGGCGCAUGUUGUGGGGUGGAAAGCCUUGUGUGGCUAGAGAUGGGCCCGCGGCCUAUCAGCUUGUUGGUGGGGUGAUGGCCACCAAGGCGACGACGGGUAGCCGGCCUGAGAGGGCGACCGGCCACACUGGGACUGAGACACGGCCCAGACUCCUACGGGAGGCAGCAGUGGGGAAUCUUGCGCAAUGGGCGAAAGCCUGACGCAGCGACGCCGCGUGAGGGAUGACGGCCUCGG
rnacentral:rRNA from 1 species